CUCUUGUAUAAGCUCAUUGAUCUGGAAUGAGCGUCUCGACCAGGCAACCAUAAUUGCCCCAGGCUACAAGAG
rnacentral:ncRNA from 1 species